rnacentral:pre_miRNA from 1 species
AGGAGGAACAACCCCAGUGGCGGCGGCAGCUCUGGAAUCCUGGAUUCAGCCUCCAUAGGAACUCCGGAGCUCUCCGCCUGCAGGGCCUGGAGGCUCCGGGGUGCG